GAUGAACGCUGGCGGCGUGCCUAAUACAUGCAAGUCGAGCGAACGGACGAGAAGCUUGCUUCUCUGAUGUUAGCGGCGGACGGGUGAGUAACACGUGGAUAACCUACCUAUAAGACUGGGAUAACUUCGGGAAACCGGAGCUAAUACCGGAUAAUAUUUUGAACCGCAUGGUUCAAAAGUGAAAGACGGUCUUGCUGUCACUUAUAGAUGGAUCCGCGCUGCAUUAGCUAGUUGGUAAGGUAACGGCUUACCAAGGCAACGAUGCAUAGCCGACCUGAGAGGGUGAUCGGCCACACUGGAACGGAGACACGGUCCAGACUCCUACGGGAGGCAGCAGUAGGGAAUCUUCCGCAAUGGGCGAAAGCCUGACGGAGCAACGCCGCGUGAGUGAUGAAGGUCUUCGGAUCGUAAUACUCGGUUAUUAGGGAAGAACAUAUGUGUAAGUAACUGUGCACAGCUUGACGGUACCUAAUCAGAAAGCCACGGCUAACUACGUG
rnacentral:rRNA from 1 species